GACGAACGCUGGCGGCGUGCUUAACACAUGCAAGUCGAACGAUGAAGCGCCAGCUUGCUGGUGUGGAUUAGUGGCGAACGGGUGAGUAACACGUGAGUAACCUGCCCCCUACUCUGGGAUAAGCCUGGGAAACUGGGUCUAAUACUGGAUAUGACCAAUCACUGCAUGGUGUGUUGGUGGAAAGAUUUUUUGGUGGGGGAUGGACUCGCGGCCUAUCAGCUUGUUGGUGGGGUAAUGGCCUACCAAGGCGACGACGGGUAGCCGGCCUGAGAGGGCGACCGGCCACACUGGGACUGAGACACGGCCCAGACUCCUACGGGAGGCAGCAGUGGGGAAUAUUGCACAAUGGGCGAAAGCCUGAUGCAGCGACGCCGCGUGAGGGAUGACGGCCUUCGGGUUGUAAACCUCUUUCACCAGGGACGAAGCUAACGUGACGGUACCUGGAGAAGAAGCACCGGCUAACUACGUG
rnacentral:rRNA from 1 species